ensembl:snoRNA
AUCCUCUUGUAGUUCAUGAGCUUGGUAAUUAAGUGUUCGCAUACAUGUGUGACAUGUACCACCCUGGAACCUUGUUAUAACGUUGGCACAUUACCCAUUUGACA